CAGCAUGUCAGACCUCUGGCCCCCUCUCCAGCCAUAGGGAGUGUCGGUGCCUUCAAAACAUGCCAGAACAAUAGUUCAUGGAGUCUACAGGGCCAACGGUCUCCCAGAGCAGGCCGAUUGGUAGUAUCAGACUCCAACACUG